ensembl:snRNA U6 U6 spliceosomal RNA
UUGCUUUGGCAGCAAAUAUACAAAAGUUGGAAUGAUACAGAUAAGAUGAGCAUGGUCCCUGCACAAGGAUGACACACAAAUUCGUGAAGCAUUCCAUAUUUUU